GACAUACUUGCUGCUCUACAUUUUUCCUCUUUGAAUUUCUGUUUUCUAUUGUCGUAUUUUCUAUAUAGACUCUUCAAUGCAGCUUGAGAAUCAACCAACUGCUGCUAGGAAUUUUUGCUUUUGGGUUUUAUACAAACCCUCGUCCCCAUUUUUGAACCUACUGGUGGAGAUGAUUAAGAUGAAAUAAACUUACUGGCCAAAGCAAAAGCCGACUAUUACUCCAAAGUUUCAAAUGCUUUUGCCCAAAGGAUGUUUGGUGGGGGAGCCGGAAUCUCCUUGGAUCUGUAUGUAUAACAUUUUGUACACACAAGAAUAAGUAAGCCCUAAAUACAUCAAGAUUGUUAUGAUUCUUGAAUGUCUGAA